CUGGCUUUGCCUCUGACUGAAGGAGUAGGAAGAGCAAUACUGUGUCAGCCAGUUUCCAGUGGAGAAGCAAACCUCUCUAUGUAUUUCAAGCAGAGACUUUGUUACAAAGCUAUUGGAUGGGCUGGAGAGCAAAAGGGGGAGUAAAGGGAGGGAGUGCUCCCCAGAAAUCAGUUACUUAAAGGAAGCCGUUGCUGCUGCUUGGUGUGGAGAAGUCAAGAGGAAGAGUGGAGGCUGCACCCCUGCAGACAUUCCUGGAACUGAGAACUGACUGGAAGCCGCUGACAUGGGAG
rnacentral:lncRNA from 1 species